ACGGGGCUUAUGUCUUGUAUUGGGAUGAUGGGAAUUUAAACCUCUUCCAGAGUAUCAAUUGGAGGGCAAGUCUGGUGCCAGCAGCCGCGGUAAUUCCAGCUCCAAUAGCGUAUAUUAAAAUUGUUGCAGUUAAAAAGCUCGUAGUUGAAUUUCUGCUGCAUUGCAUUUUCUCCUAUACGAGUUUUUGCAUUGUGGCUUAUUUCGGUUAUAAAAUUUAUUUUUAUUUCCGGAUGUUUACUUUGAGAAAAUUAGAGUGCUCAAAGCAGGCUUUUGCCUUGAAUAGUUUAGCAUGGAAUAAUAAAGUAGGACUUUGGUUCUAUUUUGUUGGUUUUAGGUACCAAAGUAAUGGUUAACAGGAACGG
rnacentral:rRNA from 1 species